GACGAACGCUGGCGGCGUGCUUAACACAUGCAAGUCGAACGGAAAGGCACUGCUUUUGUGGGGUGCUCGAGUGGCGAACGCGUGAGUAACACGUGAGUAACCUGCCCUUGACUUUGGGAUAACUUCAGGAAACUGGGGCUAAUACCGGAUAGGAGCUCCUGCUGCAUGGUGGGGGUUGGAAAGUCUCGGCGGUUGGGGAUGGACUCGCGGCUGAUCAGCUUGUUGGUGGGGUAGUGGCUUACCAAGGCUGUGACGGGUAGCCGGCCUGAGAGGGUGAACGGCGACCAUAGGACUGAGAGACGGCGCAGACUCCUACGGUAGGCAGCAGUGGGGAAUAUUGCACAGUGAGCGGGAGCCUGAUGCGGCAACGCCGCGGGCGGGAUGACGGCCUGCGGGGUGUGAACCGCUUUCGCCUGUGACGAAGCGUGAGUGACGGUAAUGGGUAAAGAAGCACCGGCUAACUACGUG
rnacentral:rRNA from 1 species